GACGAACGCUGGCGGCGUGCUUAACACAUGCAAGUCGAACGGAAAGGCCCCUUUGGGGGUACUCGAGUGGCGAACGGGUGAGUAACACGUGAGUAACCUGCCCUUGACUUCGGGAUAACUUCAGGAAACUGGGGCUAAUACCGGAUAGGAAUCCUUGCUGCAUGGUGGGGGUUGGAAAGCUUCGGCGGUUUUGGGUGGACUCGCGGCGUAUCAGCCUGUUGGUGGGGUAGUGGCUUACCGAGGCCUUGACGGGUAGCCGGCCUGGGGGGGCGACCGGCCAGGUUGGGACUGAGAGACGGCCCAGACUCCUACGGGAGGCAGCAGUGGGGAAUAUUGCACGAUGGGCGGGAGCCUGAUGCAGCAACGCCGCGGGCGGGAUGACGGCCUUCGGGUUGUAAGCCGCUUUCAGCAGGGGCGAAGCUUGUGGUGACGGUACCUGCAGAAGAAGCACCGGCUAACUACGUG
rnacentral:rRNA from 1 species